GCCGGGCAUGGAGAUGUGCACCUGUAGUCCCAGCUACUUGGGAGGCUGAGGCGGGCGGAUCACUUGAGCCCAGGAGGUCAAGGCUGUAGUGAGGCGUAAUCACACUACUGCACUCUAGCCUGAGCGACUGAGACCCUGUCUUGGAAAAAAGAAAAAAAAGGAUAAGAUGGGACAUUUUACAUUAUUUUUUUUUUUUUUUUGAGACGGAGUCUCGCUUUGUCANNNNNNNNNNAAUGUAAAAUGUCCCAUCUUAUCCUUUUUUUUCUUUUUUCCAAGACAGGGUCUCAGUCGCUCAGGCUAGAGUGCAGUAGUGUGAUUACGCCUCACUACAGCCUUGCCCUCCGGGGCUAAAGUGACCCGCCCGCCUCAG
rnacentral:SRP_RNA from 1 species